GGGUUGCUAACUCAACGGUAGAGUACUCGGCUUUUAAUUUCUUGUCUAAUGAAGGAACUGGGUUUUAGAUGU
rnacentral:tRNA from 1 species